GGGGGAGGCCGGAUCCUGGGCUGUGUUCCAGCACCCAGUGCUCCCGGGCCUGCCUGUUGGAUUCGCGCUCCCAGUGGCGGAGCCGAUGCCC
rnacentral:pre_miRNA from 1 species